UUUUUUUAGCACUAAAAUUUCGCAAAAGAAUUGUAUUUUGAUGAUUGAAUUUGAAGUUUUUGAGACAAGGAUGUGAGUAUUUAUAAAAAAGCGUAAACUUCAAAUACCACACCCAUGGUUUCGCACUUUCACACUUUAGUGUCCUAUGGUUUAAAGUGUAUCAAGUUAGUGUCCUGCGGUUUCAUUUUUAUGUUUUCGUCAGUUUUUCCGUUAAUAUUUCGUUAAAUUAUAUAUAAAAAAUUUCAGAUAUCCCACCUAGAUUUAUCGAAUAUUCACUUUAGCAUCCUUUAGUUUUAAUUUUGUCACUGAUUUAACGAAAAAAAUUAAGAGGAUCGAUAAUUUAAAGAUAAAAAUAAAUCCAUAGGGUACUAAAGUGAGAAAGUGUGAAACCACGUGGACGGUAUUUGAAGUUUUUCCUAUAAAAAAAAGUUGAAUCGGA
rnacentral:lncRNA from 1 species